rnacentral:rRNA from 1 species
UUAGAGUUUGAUCCUGGCUCAGGACGAACGCUGGCGGCGUGCUUAACACAUGCAAGUCGAACGGAAAGGCCCGCUUGCGGGUGCUCGAGUGGCGAACGGGUGAGUAACACGUGGGUAACCUGCCCUUGGCUUCGGGAUAACUCCGGGAAACCGGGGCUAAUACCGGAUAUUCAUUGCUGGCCGCAUGGUUGGUGGUGGAAAGUUUUUUCGGCUGGGGAUGGGCCCGCGGCCUAUCAGCUUGUUGGUGGGGUGAUGGCCUACCAAGGCUUCGACGGGUAGCCGGCCUGAGAGGGCGACCGGCCACACUGGGACUGAGACACGGCCCAGACUCCUACGGGAGGCAGCAGUGGGGAAUAUUGCGCAAUGGGCGGAAGCCUGACGCAGCGACGCCGCGUGAGGGAUGACGGCCUUCGGGUUGUAAACCUCUUUCAGCUCCGACGAAUGUGACGGUAGGAGUAGAAGAAGCACCGGCCAACUACGUGCCAGCAGCCGCGGUAAUACGGAGGGCGCGAGCGUUACCCGGAUUUACUGGGCGUAAGGGGCGUGUAGGCGGUCUGGGGCGUCCCAUGUGAAAGACCACGGCUCAACCGUGGGGGAGCGA